rnacentral:lncRNA from 1 species
UGUUCCCGGUGCGGAGCAACGCAUGACGCCGCCACCUGCCCCUUUCGCAAAUUUCGAUGUCGUGCCUGCAAAAAGAUGGGACACCUGGCAAGGGUCUGCAGAACAACGCCACGUUCGGUGCACUCUCUUGAAGAGAGCACUGGCUUAGAAGACUCCGGUGACUGGGACGAUAAAAGUGGUCUUUAGGUUCCCCUGUACCCAUCGAUGGUGCACGAGAGACGUCUGACGCCGAGCAAGUCGAUGAGCAGGCAGACGAUGCCAACAAAGAACCGGUCCACCUACCGGACACUUCAUCGACAGGCGGGGACUGCGGCGGGGGCGAGUCUCAACCUUCCCAACCGGAACUUCGACGCAGCACCCGACAAAGACGACCGCCUGACCGUUACU